rnacentral:lncRNA from 1 species
AGUCAUGUUCCUCCUGGUUGAAGAUGGCUACAUUAAGUAGCUCCAUGAUUAUUCGGAAUUCUUCUGCCUGUGAUAUUUGAACCAUUCAUUUAAAAUCUGUUACAAACCAAAGCAGGGGGCAAUGGGGAUGGCAUGGGGGAGAAAUGUCUCCAAGCUUGGAAUUGCUCUUCUACCCUUUAGGGAAAUGAAGGGAUGGUGCAAAUCUAGAAGGAAAAGAGAAAAGAGGAAGGAGAAUUCGCAAGCUAGGGCACAUGCAGGUGGUGGCUGUGCCUUCCCUCCUGCUUGCUCACCAGCACGGCGAAAGCUGGGCAGCCCACCGAUGUCACUGCUCCAGGCUGUCUCAAUUGUACCUCAGAUCCCAUUAACAUGCCCCAGAAUCUUGAAAUAAUAUAUUGGUGAGCCUCCUAAACAAUAGUGGAAAAGUUUUCCUUCUUUUGUUCUGAGCAGACUAUUUUUAAAAAGAGUCAUAUGGUUAUAAGACCACAGCAAAAUCAUCUGUUUCAAAAGUGUCUCUCCUCCUCCCUCCUCUCUCUGAAUGAGUGACGGGCGCUAAGCUGUGUGCCCAGACCUACUGUAGGGAAGUCCUCAGGAACAUGUUCCCCAGAGAAUGCCCCAGCAUCACCUGGUCAGGAGAAAUGGGGUCCUUGGGACUUGUGAACAGGUCCCAGCUCUGGGGAAAAAACCACCAAGAAUUUUUCCACUCUGGGAGGGAAGAAAGAACUCUUCUAGUUUUGGAUCUUUAAUGAAAGGCAAAAGCAAUUUGGGAAAAACAAGAUCUGGCUACAAAAUAAAAAGGUUAUUUUUACUGCGGAGAGCAAGCCAUCUAAUGAAAUGCUGCAAUUGCCAAAGUUUGUUCGGCCCCCGGGGAACUUUACGGGCACUUAAGGGUCUGUCCUUUUGACUGUGGAGCCCAUUUGUGGUGAAUGUUUCACGAAUUCAGGGAGACCACAGCCAAGGUCGAGCAGUCCCUGCCAACUGAG